AUAUAUAUUAAUUAUAUAUUAAUUAUCAAUUAAUUAGUACACCCUAAUUAAUUAUAUAUUAAUUACCAAUUAAUUAGUACACCCCAAAGCCCAACCCCAAAGGUGAGCCCAAUUUUAGUCUCCAGGCCUAUUACUCCAAUCACUUUCUAUAAAGGACAAAGCCUUAUAAAAUGAUAAAAUCUUUUGGGAAUGGCUAAUGUGGGACAAAGAAAUUUCUACUCAAACUACUCAAAUUUCCAACAUUUUGUACAUGAAGUUUUUUUCAUCCCAGAGUCAUACCUCAAGUCUUUUUUUUGGGACAGUUUCAUACAUCCGUUAAGUUUUCUAUCAGAACCUCUGUUAACUGAUGACAUGGCGCCCACUUGGAUAAUAACUGAACGCCACAUGUCAAUAUGGGCCACGUGGAAAUUAAAAAAUAUUUAAAAUUUUAAAUUUAAAUUUAAAAUACAUAAAAAAA
rnacentral:lncRNA from 1 species